GUUUUCUAACUUUUCGGAUAGCCAACUCUUGUUUUUUGGAACUUACGACUUAUGGCAAGAAAGAAGAAAACUGUGUGACGUUAAAAGAAAACCAGUGAGAUAAAAUCAUAGAAAAUGUAUGAUGAUUCAGGAUGUGGUCAUUUGUGACAUUAAAACAGGAAUUGUCAUCACCAAUAGACGAAUUUCACAUUCCUAAGAGUUUUCUCCAAUUGUCGGCGUAUCGCUCAUUUUUCCCACUUUGUCCUUUGUCCUGUUCUGUGGAUGCCCUAAGACAGUGUCUACCCAUCACUCCAUCUGAUAUCACUUGUUCUGUGCAUAUUUCUCUCUCAAACUUAAACUACAGAGAGCCUAUGGAUAGAGGAUGAAGAGUGACCUUGGACUACUUUUGUAGGUCAAAGAUCAUAGGUGAUGUGAAGAAAACCAGGAAACUGAUGUUGAAAGAAGUACUUAAUGACCCUUAUGAAUGGACUUAAAUGUGAAAGACUGUUCAAUUGUUUAUCUAAGAUAUAUGAAUUUAUUUAAUAUUUUGAUAUCAUUGAAAAAUUCAGUUACAGUUUUUGUACAUCAAAUGAAUUAUUAAACAUAUAAAAUGGUAA